rnacentral:rRNA from 1 species
UUGGAGGGCAAGUCUGGUGCCAGCAGCCGCGGUAAUUCCAGCUCCAAUAGCGUAUAUUAAAGUUGUUGCAGUUAAAAAGCUCGUAGUUGAACUUCGGGGUCUACCCAUUGGUCAGGCUUAAUUGUCUGCACUGGUGAGAUGGAUCUCUACCUUCUGAGGAACUUUCAUGCCAUUUAUUUGGUGUGGUUGGAAAUCAGGACUGUUACUUUGAAAAAAUUAGAGUGUUUAAAGCAGACUAUCGUCUGAAUACAUUAGCAUGGAAUAGUGAAAUAGGGCGGACUGAUUCUAUUUCGUUGGUUUCUAGGAUCACCGUAAUGAUUAAUAGGGAUAGUUGGGGGCAUUAGUAUUCAAUUGUCAGAGGUGAAAUUCUUGGAUUUAUUGAAGACUAACUACUGCGAAAGCAUUUGCCAAGGAUGUUUUCAUUAAUCAAGAACGAAAGUUAGGGGAUCGAAGACGAUCAGAUACCGUCGUAGUCUUAACCAUAAACUAUGCCGACUAGGGAUCGGACGAAGUUAAUUUUAUAAUGACGCGUUCGGCACCUUACGGGAAACCAAAG